CUGAUUACCAGAUGACCAAACGGAGCAUGGGCUUUACUGAAGAGGAGUUUAAGAGACUGAAUAUCAAUGCAGCACAGUCCAGUUUCCUCCCAGAGGACGAGAAGGAGGAGCUUCUGGAUCUGCUGUAUGAGGCCUAUGGAAUGGCAGCUCCAGCCUCUGCAGGGUGCAAGGUUAUACCCCUGAAGACAUCACAGCAGCCUUUCUGAGCCCUUGUCCUGUGGAUGGAGUCCUCAUAACUGUGUCGAGUUGCCAACACACUUACCUUCAUUCCUUCUAGGAAGACUGUGAUUCAGUAGUCAGCUGAAGCUCUUGAAGCCUGUGUGCCUGUUUGUGUACACGGAUACCUCUGUGUGUCCACACAGCUGAUUAUGUGCCUGGGCCAGGACCAGGGCCAUUGCCAAUGGGCUUGGUUGAACUGGAAACCCUCCUCCUGGGAAUCUGGUGCUCAAUAAAGAUGUCCAUGUUUAUUAUUGUGGCUGAU